UGUAAAGGAGGCCUUGAAAAACACUCCAGAAAGGUUUUCCUUAAAAAAAAAAUCAUCAUGAAUUUUGCCGCAAAAAAACGCCUUACUAUACUAUGUCGGAAAAAAAAUGCGAUUUUUCAACAUGUUGUAAAAACGUGCCAUAUGAUGAAAUAAUGUAAAGGAGGCCUUGAAAAACACUCCAGAAAGGUUUUCCUUAAAAAAAAAAAUCAUCAUGAAUUUUGCCGCAAAAAAACGCCUUACUAUACUAUGUCGGAAAAAAAAUGCGAUUUUUCAACAUGUUGUAAAAACGUGCCAUAUGAUGAAAUAAUGUAAAGGAGGUCGUGAAAAAUACUAUGGUAAGGUUCUCCUUGAAAAAAAAUCAUCAUGAAUUUUGGCGCAAAAAAAACGCCUUACUAUACUAUGUCGAAAAAAAA
ensembl:lncRNA